rnacentral:miRNA from 1 species
UUGUCCCGGCAUCCCGAACGU